UACGGAGGUGGCGAGCGUUGUCCGAAGUUACUGGGCGUAAAGCGUGCGCAGGCGGUUCGUUGUGUCGGCGGUGAAAGCCCCGGGCUCAACCUGGGAAUGGCCGUUGAAACUGGCGAACUGGAGUGUGGCAGAGGGGGUGGAAUUCCGCGUGUAGCAGUGAAAUGCGUAGAGAUGCGGAGGAACACCGAUGGCGAAGGCAGGUCGUCUGGGCUGACACUGACGCUCAUGCACGAAAGGCG
rnacentral:rRNA from 1 species